CCUUGUACACACCGCCCGUCACACCAUGGGAGUUGGGUUUACCUUAAGACGGUGCGCUAACCGCAAGGAGGCAGCCGGCCACGGUAGGCUCAGCGACUGGGGUG
rnacentral:rRNA from 1 species